rnacentral:rRNA from 1 species
CUCGGCGCCUCUCGUAGGCGUUUCUAAAAUGAAUCAAAACUUUCAACAACGGAUCUCUUGGUUCUGGCAUCAAUGAAGAACGCAGCGAAAUGCGAUAAGUAAUGUGAAUUGCAUAAUUCAGUGAAUCAUCGAAUCUUUGAACGCACAUUGCGCCCGCCAGUAUUCUGGCGGGCAUGCCUGUCCGAGCGUCAUUUCAACCCUCGAACCCCUCCGGGGGGUCAGCGUUGGGGAUCGGCCCUUUACCGGGCCUGCCCCGAAAUCCAGUGGCGGUCUCGCCCCAACCUCUCCUGCGCAGUAGUUUGCACACUCCCAUCGGGAGCGCGGCGCGUCCAUUGCCGUAAAACACCCCAACUUUCUGAAAUGUUGACCUCGGAUCAGGUAGGAAUACUCGCUGAACUUAAGCGUAUCAAUAAGCGGAGGAA